rnacentral:rRNA from 1 species
UGGGGAAUAUUGCACAAUGGGCGCAAGCCUGAUGCAGCCAUGCCGCGUGUGUGAAGAAGGCCUUCGGGUUGUAAAGCACUUUCAGCGAGGAGGAAGGUGGUGGACUUAAUACGUUCAUCAAUUGACGUUACUCGCAGAAGAAGCACCGGCUAACUCCGUGCCAGCAGCCGCGGUAAUACGGAGGGUGCAAGCGUUAAUCGGAAUUACUGGGCGUAAAGCGCACGCAGGCGGUUUGUUAAGUCAGAUGUGAAAUCCCCGGGCUCAACCUGGGAACUGCAUUUGAAACUGGCAAGCUAGAGUCUCGUAGAGGGGGGUAGAAUUCCAGGUGUAGCGGUGAAAUGCGUAGAGAUCUGGAGGAAUACCGGUGGCGAAGGCGGCCCCCUGGACGAAGACUGACGCUCAGGUGCGAAAAGCGUGGGGAGCAAAACAGGAUUAGAUACCCUGGUAGUCCACGCUGUAAACGAUGUCGAUUUUGGAGGUUGUGCCCUUGAGGCGUGGCUUCCGGAGCUAACGCGUUAAAUCGACCGCCUGGGGAGUACGGCCGCAAGGUUAAAACUCAAAUGAAUUGACGGGGUCAUAGCUGUUUCCU